AUAUUAAUCAAUUAGUAUAGUGUUUUAAACUUAGGCAGUGUAGUAGUGAUACGGGCGUAUUGAUUUGUGUGAUAACUAUCUGAAGAAGUUUUUAUACAUUUUCUUUACAAUGUAUGUUUCUACAAUGAAUUAUGAUUAUCCAAUUGUUGUGAAGCAGACAUCUACACCGCCAAAGGGCAGAAGGCAGCAAAGACAAGAAAAGUUGCAGUUUGAGUUACCACCAGUAAACAAAGAAGAUUUUUAUAUUGGUAGCUUUGUUAUGAGUAAAAUUUCGGAUAACAUCCCGGAUUUGGAAGUUUGGAAGGUUAAAAGAUGAAGAAAUUCUCUGAGGCACUGAAAUACAAGUGGAUUCUCCAUUUAUUGAAGCGUUAUUGUAAAGUAAAAAGUUUUACUUUUAUUUUGGAUCAAAUGAAGUUGACCUGCUGUAA